rnacentral:ncRNA from 2 species
CUCUUAUCGCGAGCUGGCUGAGGGACUGGCCCUAUGAUGCCCGGCAACCGGCGCUAUUUUUUUGCGUUCGACAAAAAUAGCGAAACGGUGCUAAUUCCAACGGAUAAGAGUCGGAGCUGUUUGUUCCGGCUACUGACCCGAGAGAUGAGAG